GUGAAUCAUCGAAUCUUUGAACGCAAAUUGCGCUCUCUGCGAAGAGUAGGGGUAUUUCAGGGUGAGCGUAAUAAAUAUCGACAUACUCGGUGUUGCGUGGUGACAUUCGUCGGAUAUUGGGUCAUCUUAAACCUUUUGGUUUUAAGCGGCUUAAGAUUUUCUUUACGAUUCCACGAACGUUUCUAAGAUUUACUUACACGUUUAAGGUAUCGAUCUUUAUUAUACGUGGCUGUUGCAUGGGGUCGCGUGCGUAAAUAU
rnacentral:misc_RNA from 1 species